CUGAAAUGGUGAAAUUGGUACACAUGGGUAUAUGCCAUUUGCAUAAUAUUUAGCUUAGAUAUAAUAUGUAAUGUAUUUUUCCAUAGCUCGUAAUUUUUCACACAGUGUGUGUGUGUGUGUAUGUGUGUGUGUGAGACAGUCUGA
rnacentral:sRNA from 1 species